UUCGAAUUUGUCACAUUUCUUGUCAUUCUUACUCUCCAGCCAGAGAGAAAGCACUGCAACCCUAGCUGACCGACAAACGCCGGAACUCAUGCAGAACUCUGGCCUUCCCAAAUUCAUACCCAGACUGUUUCCUCUAUGCUCCUCGUUGAGGAUAGAGCCUGGAUACGAGAUUGUGGCCUCCCCAAAUAAACCAAUCUUCCACCACCUACGAUAUUCAUAGGAAAAUGUCAGUCAAAUUUUUUCAUUAUUUUGUACUCUUUGGUUUGACUCUAGCGGGGGCAAUCAUUGCACAGAGGCCAACAAAAAAACAAAAUGGCUGUUAAUGCAUCUAAUGUAAAUGAGUUCUCUGACUAUUAUAAAAGCCAAUAUAAACAAUAUAAAAGCUGUCCUUCACCCUUUACACAGACCACUGACACCCACAUAACGUGAAAUUAGAAGAGUUUCAUUACUAAUUUACAUGUCUAAAUAUUUUACACAUGUAUGGGCUAUUGUAAAUUAUAUAGUAUAUAUUACUUACUGUUUCACCGGAUUGUGAUUGUGCAUCAGGGGUGGAUUUAUAGGGGGGGAUGCACAGGGGUGCACAUCCCUGUUGGCCUUGCUCAACAGGGGUGCAAGGGGGGUGCAAAAAAAUCAAAUUCAGAAAUAUGGCAUAAU